rnacentral:lncRNA from 15 species
AUUGACUGCACCAGUGUUGUAUUGUCUUGUUAGCAGCCAAAAGCCUUACAGUAAUUAGAAAUAGAUUAUUAUUAUUAUUCUGAUUGGGCCACAUCUCAGGUUGAAGUUGGGCAGUAUGAAACUACUGGAGGUCUCCAAGAAAGAGGAUGGUCUUUUUGUGGAUGAUCAUAUGCAAAUUAUUAAUUUGUCCAUAAUUUGCAGUGAUUGUGAUGCGAAAAAAAAAAUAAAAAAGCUAUAAAUUGUGCAACAAGGAAGGAAAAUGUCAAUUAAGCAGUAAGAUCUGUAAACACACACACACACACACACACACACACACACACACAGCCCAGAGAGGAGGUCUAAUCAGGCAAUUAAGUGAAAGCACCUGUGGGACUUUACUAUGGGCGUGUUGGGUCUUUCAACUACCAUUAGGACAAUAAUGUUAGUUGUAAAGGUAGUUGGUAAAAUGACGAAGAAUAUGGUUCAGUUAAUUGCUGAAGAUGCCUCAGAAAACCGCAGUUGAAAAUAGUUUUUCUUGUUUGAACACUAGAGAGCAGCAACGAGCACAUUUUAGCUUUGAAAGCAGCUUGAGGCGGAGCUCGAAAACGGACUUGGACAAGUUAGCCAAAGAUGAAAGCAAUGGCUCCUGGUUACUGAAACAUGACAAAUCAGACGGAUAGUGGAAGAAAAGCCAUUUAUCAAAAAGUUGGAGUUGAGAACUGUGUUUUUCUGCUGUGUCGCACAUAGGUGAGUGUGUUUUUUUUGGCUUUGUGUACACUUUGAAGCGCACGUCACUUGUUCUUGUACUCGGUGUGUGUGUGUGUGUGUGUGUAUGAUAACUGUGGGACUACAGUUACUGUCCUCGUUGUGUUUGAUGCAACUCUCAUGUUUCACACAGUCAUGCAGACAUUUCCUUUUGGCAACCUUUGUUACCCUCCCAUUUUGUUUCUGACGUUUAUCCACCGCUUCAUGUCGACAGCCAGUAUACUUGUCAUUCAAUCACCUUGUUGCUAGGCUUUGGUAACACAAUCACCCUGUUACCCAGCUAACUAACUUCUGAAAAGGCGCUCUCUCUCUCUCUCUCUCUCUCUCUCUCUCUCUCACUCACACAGUUGCUGUCUGUGUGAUGGAUGUGCCUUCUCAGACAGAACUGCUGUGUGUUGCAUCUCAACCUCCAGCUUCACCUUCAGGCUAUACCCACUACCAAGGUGUGUGUGUGUGUGUGUGGACAGAGUGUUUGAUCAUGAAUGCUUUUUCUGAAAAUACAGUGGAAUGUAGAG